CCGCUAGGCAUUAGUGUUGGAAGUCUGCUAAAGUCGUUGGACAAUAUUGUAAAGAUAAUCAUUUCUACUUUUGUAGCCGCUAAAGGUAACUAUUUUUUCGGUUAAAUGUGAACCGUGGAACUACUCCGUGGAUUAAAGACCGUGUCGCUUUUGUGAUUAAAGGAGAGCUGAUGAUGUUUGUAGCGCCCAUAAAUGCUGACUCACUCCAAGGACGGAUGCUAAUAGCUAACGCUGUAGAGGACUUUCCGUUUUGCCUCAAACUAAGGAAAACGAAGGCAAUGGGGUUCACAGAAAGGACAUGGACUAUCUAAAAGAGCUGCAUUAACUCGGAAAUGGCAGCCAAAUUCCUGUGGAAUGAAUGAAGAGGAAAUCUGCAAGUGGAAGCCCGCACCACCAGAUCGCUGUGAAAGAAGAAGGGUGGAAAAGCCGAGGCCCUUUCCUUUGGCAUGGAGCUGGGGCCAGGGCUCACUAGGUGGGGGGUGCGGCUGGAUACAGGGAUUUCCUGUGGAAAUAAUAAUUAACCACAACAUGCACACAGGGCCUUGGCUCUCCCUCUAAAUAUUGUCUUUUACAAGCAAGCAGGAAACUUGAGGCGAACAGAGAAGUUGAGACACUAUUUGGAUGAAAUCCAGACAUAAAGCUGAGGUAAAGGUGUGCAUCUGCACAACACCUGUCCCGCCAAGGUGCUGAGGUCAAGCCCUGCCUGUCAGCAGCAGACUGGAACAAAGCUUUAGCCUCUGAAACAAAAUGUGACCACCUCAGGAGAAAACACAGGGCUGUGUUACUGCAGACAACAGCUUGAGUGGGCUCCUCUGGGAGGGGGGGCACAACUCAGGAAAUUGUAGCAGGUAGAAAGAAGAUAACCUGAAUCUUAAAGGGACAGGAGGCCAGAUUAGGAUAUUUUUAGAUUACUGAAUAAAAAGAGUCACUUUCUUUCAUGAUUCUGACACCUUUACACUGCACUCAUGUCCUCAUGAUGCUGCCCUGGCAGUGGUGUGAUGUUUCAAAGCACCACCAGCUCAGACAAAACAGUCUGAGUAUGCUGCGUUUGUAUCUCUGUGUGUUUCCUGCAGACAGGGAGAGACCUGACGCCGAAGGGGUGGGGGAAGUGCAGGCAGGAGGACAGAUGGUCUCCCUCAUGGUGGCUGAAAUAAAAGAGGGAAUUAGAGGACUCCAAGGUGUACACUCUGACGGCAAUUACAGCAAAUAGAUUGGAAGUGGACCUGCAGGCACCCGGGGAGGCAGCUCUGCGGGGGAGAGCUCCACCUCACUGCAUCUGGCUCACUCACACAUUCUGCCUCUCCUCUGACCAUUAACAUACCACAGAAUGUGUCAAAACA